rnacentral:rRNA from 1 species
CACUCCUGCGGGAGGCAGCAGUGGGGAAUAUUGGACAAUGGGCGCAAGCCUGAUCCAGCCAUGCCGCGUGAGUGAUGAAGGCCCUAGGGUUGUAAAGCUCUUUCACCGGUGAAGAUAAUGACGGUAACCGGAGAAGAAGCCCCGGCUAACUUCGUGCCAGCAGCCGCGGUAAUACGAAGGGGGCUAGCGUUGUUCGGAUUUACUGGGCGUAAAGCACACGUAGGCGGACUAUUAAGUCAGGGGUGAAAUCCCGGGGCUCAACCCCGGAACUGCCUUUGAUACUGGUAGUCUUGAGUUCGAGAGAGGUGAGUGGAAUUCCGAGUGUAGAGGUGAAAUUCGUAGAUAUUCGGAGGAACACCAGUGGCGAAGGCGGCUCACUGGCUCGAUACUGACGCUGAGGUGCGAAAGCGUGGGGAGCAAACAGGAUUAGAAACCCUGGUAGUCCCAUGAA